AGUGGAAAACUUGCAUAACUACA
rnacentral:miRNA from 1 species